GAGGGUAUAUCUCAGUGGUAGAGAGCAUGCUUAGCAUGCAUGUGUACUGGGUUCAACUCCGAGUACCUCCA
rnacentral:tRNA from 1 species